CGAAGGAUGCAAGCGUUAUCCGGAUUCAUUGGGUUUAAAGGGUGCGUAGGCGGACUUGUAAGUCAGUGGUGAAAUCUCUCAGCUUAACUGAGAAACUGCCAUUGAUACUGCAGGUCUAGAGUAUAGAUGACGUUGGCGGAAUAUGACGUGUAGUGGUGAAAUACUUAGAUAUGUCAUAGAACACCGAUUGCGAAGGCAGCUAACGAAACUAUAACUGACGCUGAGGCACGAAAGUGCGGGGAUCAAACAGGAUUAGAUACCCUGGUAGUCCGCACCGUAAACGAUGAUUACUCGUUGUUGGCGAUAUGACAGUCAGCGACCAAGCGAAAGCGAUAAGUAAUCCACCUGGGGAGUACGCCGGCAACGGUG
rnacentral:rRNA from 1 species